GCAGGAUUAGUACAUCGGUAGUAUAUGAGCUUCCCAAGCUCAGGAGGAGGGUUCGAUUCCCUUAUCCUGCU
rnacentral:tRNA from 1 species